AGAGUUUGAUCAUGGCUCAGAAUCAACGCUGGCGGCGCGCUUAACACAUGCAAGUCGCACGAGAAAGUGGAGCAAUCCAUGAGUACAGUGGCGUACGGGUGAGUAACACGUGGAUCAUCUACCUCUUAGUGGGGAAUAACCCUGGGAAACCGGGGCUAAUACCGCAUAAGCUCGAGAGAGGAAAGCAGCAAUGCGCUGAGAGAGGAGUCCGCGGCCGAUUAGCUAGUUGGUAGGGUAACGGCCUACCAAGGCGAAGAUCGGUAGCCGGCCUGAGAGGGCACACGGCCACACUGGCACUGAAACACGGGCCAGACUCCUACGGGAGGCAGCAGUGGGGAAUCUUGCACAAUGGGGGAAACCCUGAUGCAGCGACGCCGCGUGAGCGAUGAAGCCCUUCGGGGUGUAAAGCUCUUUCGGCAGGGAAGAUUAUGACGGUACCUGCAGAAGCAGCUGCGGCUAACUACGUGCCAGCAGCCGCGGUAAUACGUAGGCAGCGAGCGUUGUUCGGAGUUACUGGGCGUAAAGGGUGUGUAGGCGGUUGUUUAAGUUUGGUGUGAAAUCUCCCGGCUCAACUGGGAGGGUGCGCCGAAUACUGAAUGACUCGAGUGCGGGAGAGGAGAGUGGAAUUCCUGGUGUAGCGGUGAAAUGCGUAGAUAUCAGGAGGAACACCGGCGGUGUAGACGGCUCUCUGGACCGUAACUGACGCUGAGACACGAAAGCGUGGGUAGCAAACAGGAUUAGAUACCCUAGUAGUCC
rnacentral:rRNA from 1 species